GAACUAGGGGUGCAACUGCAAAUUAAACCCCAAAAUCCAUUUAUUUCCCUCUCUCAGAGAAGAACCACACACAUAGAAUGGAAGCCCCACCUCGAUUAGGCAGAGCUAGCUCCUCCCAAGUUUAGCAACUGGCUGGGGGUUUUCAUAUGUGCUACCUAUUAAGCAGCUUAUUGCUUGUUUUGUGCCAAUUCAAAGCUCCAUCAAAAGGGGGCUACCUGGUUUCUUCUGAGGAAAAAGAAUUGUUUGUGGGGCUUCACAGUUCCAGCCCCCUCCCCCCCACAAUUGAUUAUGACCCCACUUUCUAGCUUCUCCCCCACGGUAUCUCUCUCUCUCUCUCUCUCUUUCCCACCAUAUAAACAUAUAACACCUCUUCGUCCCCCUCCCCAGCUGCCCUAGCUCUUCAUCUCUCGUUCACCUCUCUCUUUCUCUCUCGCCGGUGCUUCUCUGGCCUACCGGCUCAUCGUGAGCUUGCUUUCCGGCAAAAGAAAUUUAUGGUGCAAAAUUAAUCAUGUUUAGUAUAGAUAUGCAUGCAUGUAUAGAUGUAUUACAAGCUAGCUAGUCCAUGCAUGAUUCAUUCACUCAUACACAUACAUACCAGCAUGCGUUAUGAGUCUUAUGACAAUGACAUCAUGCAUAUGCAUAUACAUAUAGAUAUAUGUAUGUAUGUGUGCAGAAGUAUAUUCAUGUAUAGAUAUAUAUAUAUAUAUAUAUAUGCCUGGCUCCCUGUAUGCCAUUUGUAGAGCCCACCGGCGAAUCGAUGGCCUCCGUGGAUGGCGUAUGAGGAGCCAUGCAUAUUCCCAUAUAUAUGGUCAGUGUGCAAGUGCUGUUUUCUGCUUCUUUUUAUUGUUUUUAAGGGCACUGUGGUCAUUUCGGUGGCCUGAGUCUCCCCUCCAGCUGCAUUCUGCAAGGGCAGCAUUGUCAUUUCCGGAGGCGCAGCCGAUCUUUUUGGGCCAGAUGGUGAUGAACUCUGAAGCGGGCCAGGUUUUCUGUUCUUUAAUUCUUCUCUGCAGGUUUCCUUGACCCAUGAACCUGCAGCUCGUACUUUGUCAUCUCUUUGCAUUCUUCUGAUAAAUCUUGUACCUUUCAAAAAAUUAAUUAUAUAUAUAUAUAUGUCUAUGUAUAUUAUAUAUGUCUGUAUGCGGAUAUAUCUGAAACCCUGAUUCCAAUGUGUUCAUCUCCCACCUGACAUUUACAACUUAUAAUUAAGUUGCAUUUCCUAGUUUUUUUUUUUUUUUUAAUGCAAAGCAGAAAUGUUCCUUGUG